rnacentral:lncRNA from 1 species
UGCUACGUGUCCAUAAUCGUGGGGCUGCUGGCGUCCCCGGCGUCCUCCUCCAUCAUGUCCUGGCCGAGCUCUGGAACAUCUGUCUCCCCAUCCCUUUGCUUAAAUACUGCUGCUGUAAUCCCUGCUGUUCUCAAGUUUUAGUUGCUUCACUUGGUGUCUUAGCGGUUCGUGUUUGUAAGUCUAAGCUCCUCUUCCCAGCCACCAACUCGAUCUGCCCUAGUCUUCCCAUCUCCUACUUAAGUCAUGGUCCAGUAGGCCGUGCAGUCCUAGAGCUCGAGUGAUCUCCUUGGCUGUUGUAGCCUAUGUUUCCCCGGAGUUAAUCCCCUCCCAAUAUCUUGGUCCAUCUGCCCAGAGCUUGGUGUACCAGUCCCUAGGUGGUGACCAUCGUCGGCAGUUAGUCCACCUCGUCGUGACCAGGUAACUUCAAGGGUUUCCUCAGUCGAGUUGUGCAUAUUUUAUGCUCUGCAUAAGAUAGAGAAGCUCAUAUGAUGGUAAACCAUUCUCCUUAAGUAGGUUUGGUUUGGGGGUGUGUAUGGAAAAUAGAGUGAAAGCUGCCCAAAAAUGAACUGUGAGUUUGCACUGACUGAAUUUUUGUUCAGAUUAGCUGAAAACUGGAUUGCAGCAGAUUGCUCAGUUUGGAGCUCUCCUAUGACCAGUUCAUGAGGUUUUGGGUUACCAGUUGUAUAGAAAAGUCAAAGACCAGAUGAAGGUGAACAAGCUUCAUCAGAGGAGUGGGGCUUACUACUGUGUAAAAUAUGGAGAAAUAUGUGCUGCAAUUUUCUAUGUCAUGUGUUGUGUUCAGGUCUUUUUCAAUUAGCUAAAAUUUAGCCUUUGCGUUUCCACCUCAAGUUUGGUGCUAUGUAACUUGAGAUCUGUUUAGGGUUAGCUAGUAGCUGUUGUAACAAAGAUGGAGAGAGAUUAUAGAGGAACCAUUCAUAGUAAGGAAAUACAUUGAGCCCUCAUAUGGAAUUGCGAGAAAAUAGUGUUACAAAACCCUCUGUCAGACUUGGAGUGGGUUGUUUCAGCUAACUGAAAACCUGUUCAGGGUGUUGUUUAGUCAACUUUGGAGCUCUGUGGUAAUUAAUAAAACCAGAAUUGGGUUAAG